rnacentral:rRNA from 1 species
CGGGUGAGUAAUGCGUGACCAACCUGCCCCAUGCUCCAGAAUAGCUCUUGGAAACGGGUGGUAAUGCUGGAUGCUCCAACUUGACGCAUGUCUUGUUGGGAAAGUGUUUAGUGGCAUGGGAUGGGGUCGCGUCCUAUCAGCUUGUAGGCGGGGUAAUGGCCCACCUAGGCUUAGACGGGUAGCCGGCCUGAGAGGGCGGACGGCCACAUUGGGACUGAGAUACGGCCCAGACUCCUACGGGAGGCAGCAGCU